AAUCAACGCUGGCGGCGUGCCUAACACAUGCAAGUCGCACGAGAAAGCGGACUUCGGUCUGCAAGUACAGUGGCGCACGGGUGAGUAACACGUGAAUUAUCUACCUUCGAGUGGGGAAUAACCUCGGGAAACCGAGGCUAAUACCGCAUAACACUUACGAGUCAAAGCGGCAAUGCGCUUGAAGAGGAGUUCGCGGCAGAGUAGUUAGUUGGCGGGGUAAUGGCCCACCAAGACGAUGAUCUGUAUCCGGCCUGAGAGGGCGCACGGACACACUGUAACUGAAACACGGUCCAGACUCCUACGGGAGACAGCAGUGGGGAAUUUUGCGCAAUGGGGGAAACCCUGACGCAGCAACGCCGCGUGGAGGAUGAAAUCCCUUGGGAUGUAAACUCCUUUCGAUCGGGACGAUUAUGACGGUACCGGAAGAAGAAGCCCCGGCUAACUUCGUGCCAGCCGCCGCGGUAAUAC
rnacentral:rRNA from 1 species